GGUUACCUGGGAUGUUAGUGGAUUCUAUCAUUUUGAACCUACAGUACUGAAACGGGAAUCUGUGUACGUGUUAUAGGGUCAUGCCUCACAAAGAUUUUCUUUGUCAGAGGAAGACGUGAAACCAUGUCAGGAUACCCACCUAGCAUAGGCUAGGUGUCAAAAGAUAGAUAUACGGCAUUUUGGGGCAACA
rnacentral:other from 1 species